rnacentral:rRNA from 1 species
AUUGAACGCUGGCGGCAUGCGUAACACAUGCAAGUCGAACGGUGUUUGGUGCUUGCACCAGACAUAGUGGCGGACGGGUGAGUAAUGCGUAGGAAUCUGUCUUAGAGAGGGGGACAACCCGAGGAAACUUGGGCUAAAACCGCAUAUUCUCGAGAGAGGAAAGCAGGGGACCGGAAACGGCCUUGUGCUCUAAGGUGAGCCUACGUCGGAUUAGCUAGUUGGUAGGGUAAAAGCCUACCAAGGCGAUGAUCUGUAGCUGGUCUGAGAGGACGGACAGCCACACUGGGACUGAGACACGGCCCAGACUCCUACGGGAGGCAGCAGUGGGGAAUAUUGGACAAUGGGGGGAACCCUGAUCCAGCGAUGCCGCGUGUGUGAAGAAGGCCUGCGGGUUGUAAAGCGACUUUCAGUUGGGAAAGAGAAGCGUCUUGUGAAUAAUGGGACGUGGAGACGUUACUCACAGAAGAAGCACCGGCUAAACUCUGUGCCAGCAGCCGCGGUAAUC